UACGAAGGGGGCUAGCGCUGUUCGGAUUUACUGGGCGUAAGGCGCGUGUAGGCGGGCCGUUAAGAUGGGGGUGAAAGCCCGGAGCUCAACCCCGGAAUUGCCUUCAUGACUGGCGGCCUGGACUCAAGGAGAGGCAAGUGGAAUUGCGAGUGUAGAGGUGAAAUUCGUAGAUAUUCGCAGGAACGCCAGUGGCGAAGGCGACUUGCUGGACUUGUAGUGACGCUGAGACGCGAAAGCGUGGGGAGCAAUCAGG
rnacentral:rRNA from 1 species